UCAAUUAGGUUGGUAUUGUGGAGUAACUACCAUGUUGUUAAUCCAUCCUCAGUGUUCUCCUAUCACAGCCAUUAAACUCUGUCAUUAGGUUGGUAUUGUGGAGUAACUACCAUGUUGUUCAUCCAUCCUCAGUUUCCUCCCAUCACAGUCAUUAAACUCUGUCAUUAGGUUGGUAUUGUGGAGUAACUACCAUGUUGUUCAUCCAUCCUCAGUUUCCUCCCAUCACAGCCAUUAAACUCUGUCAUUAGGUUGGUAUUGUGGAGUAACUACCAUGUUGUUCAUCCAUCCUCAGUUUCCUCCCAUCACAGCCAUUAUACUCUGUCAUUAGGUUGGUAUUGUGGAGUAACUACCAUGUUGUUCAUCCAUCCUCAGUUUCCUCCCAUCACAGCCAUUAAACUCUGUCAUUAGGUUGGUAUUGUGGAGUAACUACCAUGUUGUUCAUCCAUCCUCAGUUUUCUC